CAAUGAAUUCAUUUAAACUGGAGAGUGUUGGUAACUAUUCCACUCAAUUCUGAUUAUUACCCAAACCUGAUACAUUUAAACUAAUAUGUCUUUUCCCACGCAUCCAUGGUAAACUAUAAUUAUUUAAUUCGAUUAGAGUGCAAGAUUGAUGUUACCAAGAUACUCGAGAUAUAGUUUCUCAUUCACCCUUUCAUCAUUUUUCCAACAAAAACAUCACGAAUCUAGAGCUCCUGACCCAGCCCCUGACCUAACUACAAAAGGUAAUCGAGUGAUUUGAAUGGCUUGGGUUGCUUUCCAGAGCUCCGAUUUGAAAAGGGUGGCGCCGUCGUUGGGAGCCAAUUCCACUGUAGCGAGUGUCUAAGAUUCCUAGAAGAGAGCCGUCUUCGUCCCCGCGAACAGAGGCAGAGGAUUGUUGUAUUCGCUUUUCUGACAGUGGGGAGUGAUUCUCUGACUGUGAAAGUUACCAAAGAUGAGAGGUAGGGUUUAGGUUCGGGAAAACAGAGUUUAAAUAGAGAUGUGGGCUUGAUCAAAGGGCGGAGCUCGUCAUCGGAAAAUCCGCCUGAACUCUAGGCUGUAACAAAGAAGACGGAAGAGAAACGCUCACGUCACUGCCACAUCA
rnacentral:lncRNA from 1 species